CUUUAGCAUUUUCUUUUAUGUUCUUUAGCAUAAUGUUAAUGUUGUUUAACUUUUUCUUGUUAUUUUGAUGAAAAACACUUGUCUUCAUGAAACAACUACAGAAACAAACUGCUAACGUUUUUAUUACAUUCCAUUAAAUACCCUUCUAUCUUAAAAAGGUCAGGCAAGUGAAAUGAUAAAAAAUUAUAGGCACUACUUUGCCUCUGAAUUGCCAUUAUUAACAGGAGAUUAUUUAACUUGAUAAAUGCAAAUACUGUAAUAUUUCAAGUGUUUUUUCAAUUCUGUCUGUGUUUGCAGGCCUUGCAUUUCAGAUGACUUAAAAAUAGGAUAUUACAGUACAGAUCAUGCUACGCAACAGAUAUCAAAGAAAUACCAGGAUUAUAGGAGCUAGCUAUUGCUACGCAAGCUUUAAUCAAGUGAGAUUUAUUCAUCUAUAAAAGCGUCAUUCAAAACCACUAUGAAGAAAAAACUGAAGAACAGGCUUCAAAUCUUUGUAAAGACAUAAAUGAUAGACUGACAGAUGUUGAGUUUUUCAUAAACAGAAGUAUUACAACAUAAAUGGAGAAGACACAUCAUGUUCACCAGGAAAACUUUGAAUAUUUUAUGUAACAAACUACAACGAGGAGAUUGAAGAUCUGGAGAGAAAAGUGCAGGAAUACCAAAAAAAGGAAGGACUAAGAUGGUUGUCUUUCAAGAUGAUAACCAUGAAAAAAAAAUGCUUGAAAAAGAGAAUGAGGAUUUCAAAGAAGAGGUUUUUGAACUGCACAAUGAGAUUUCUCGUCUAAAAAAUGCUCUGAAGCGCUCUGAAAAAAGAAAAAUAUUUCUUAGGUAAAACUUUCGACUGAUGUAAGAUCAAGAUGAUUAGUUUAAAUGCAGCAUGUAAGAAAUGUCACUAAAGUUGGAAUUAAUUGUUAACAGGCUUCAGAAGGAGGGUGACUUUUUUCUGGACUGCUGUCUUUUUCUGGUAUUGAAUGCUAAUUUUGUAUGUAUUUGUAGGGAAAUUCAUACAUAUUUAUUCUAAUUUUAAUGCAUAUAUUUACAUAUCUUUAAUUUAUGACAAAGGAAUAUUUGUUGUGGCUUUUGAGACUUCUAAUAUUGCCUAGCAAUGUGGCUGGAGUUCAUAUUAUGUGGCAGAUACAUGCUGUAAAGUUACUGAAAUAUAAAAGUGUCGUAGGUAGACAGUUAUAUUUUUAAAUGAUGGUCUACUGUUUUAUCUUAAGAGAACUGUAUUAAAACCUACUUUCUCUCUACAGUAGUUUUUGAUCUUCUGCAAAGUAUUUGAAUGUGCAUUUCUUCAUACAAUUAGGUUUGUGUUUCUGUGGAAGUUUCUAAGAGAAUCCAUUUCUACCAAAUAAGCUGUUGCUGCUUUGGACACCUGUGCUUUAUUACAGUUCUUAAAAGAAGGGUUUUUUCCUGAGAAGUACAAUGUACAGUCUUUACCUACAGGUUGCUUCUUGUGUAUUGUUAAAGUGAAAUAUUUAAUGGGGGACUAGAAACUAUGGCAGUGGAGUAGAAUUCUGCUGUUUAGCUUUGUUGUGUCUGUAGAUUAGACCCAGUAUCACCUUUAACAGAGGCGAGAUGAAUUUGCCACAGAGAAUAUUCCCGAUUCCCGUUUAUCAUCUGAUUCAAUGGCGCUUCUUAUCUUUUGCUAGUUUUGUAUGAGCAAUAAAGAACCACCUGCUAAAACA
rnacentral:lncRNA from 1 species